rnacentral:misc_RNA from 1 species
GGCUUACUCUUUUUCAUCUGAAGAGUCAUCUUCAGAAAUACAGGUUGGGGAAACAAUCUGGAAAAGAUAUGUCAGAGCAAUCUAAAGACGCUUCUUACCUUUUGGAGGCUUCGAGUGCUGGUGCCUUGUCUCCAAGAGUGCCUGCCCCAGAUGUAAACGAGGGUCAGGAAGUUAAAGAGGCACUGAGAGCACAAAUGGAAGUGCAAAGAAGACUUCAUGAACAAGUAGAGGUUCAGAAGCACGUUCAGAUUCGUGU